GACGAACGCUGGCGGCGUGCCUAAUACAUGCAAGUAGAACGCACAGUUUAUACCGUAGCUUGCUACACCAUAAACUGUGAGUUGCGAACGGGUGAGUAACGCGUAGGUAACCUGCCUGGUAGCGGGGGAUAACUAUUGGAAACGAUAGCUAAUACCGCAUAAUAUUGAUUAUUGCAUGAUAAUUGAUUGAAAGAUGCUAUUGCAUCACUACCAGAUGGACCUGCGUUGUAUUAGCUAGUAGGUGAGGUAACGGCUCACCUAGGCGACGAUACAUAGCCGACCUGAGGGGGUGAUCGGCCACCCUGGGACUGAGACACGGCCCAGACUCCUACGGGAGGCAGCAGUAGGGGAUCUUCGGCAAUGGACGGAAGUCUGACCGGGCAACGCCGCGUGAGGGAAGGAGGGUUUCGGAUCGGAAAGCUCCGUUGUAAGGGAAGAACGGGUGUGAGGGUGGAAAGUUCACACUGUGACGGUAUCUUACCAGAAAGGGACGGCUAACUACGUG
rnacentral:rRNA from 1 species